GACGAACGCUGGCGGCGUGCUUAACACAUGCAAGUCGAACGGUGAAGCUCCAGCUUGCUGGAGUGGAUCAGUGGCGAACGGGUGAGUAACACGUGAGCAACCUGCCCCUGACUCUGGAAUAAGCGCUGGAAACGGCGUCUAAUACUAGAUACGAGAAGGGUCCGCAUGGGCACUUUCUGGAAAGUUUUUCGGUUGGGGAUGGGCUCGCGGCCUAUCAGCUUGUUGGUGAGGUAAUGGCUCACCAAGGCGACGACGGGUAGCCGGCCUGAGAGGGCGACCGGCCACACUGGGACUGAGACACGGCCCAGACUCCUACGGGAGGCAGCAGUGGGGAAUAUUGCACAAUGGGCGAAAGCCUGAUGCAGCGACGCCGCGUGAGGGAUGACGGCCUUCGGGUUGUAAACCUCUUUCAGCAGGGAAGAAGCGAAAGUGACGGUACCUGCAGAAGAAGCACCGGCUAACUACGUG
rnacentral:rRNA from 1 species